rnacentral:snoRNA from 1 species
CUCCAGGCAGAUAAGCCAACAGGGUUUCUUUCUUCACCUGGGGGGAGGGGGGAGGAGGAAUGGGACCGUGUGCAAUAGCUAUAAACAGCAGCCUCCUUGGUAGUAUACAUCCUGUUGCUUAUAUAGGUUCUCCUAAGGGACCCUGGAGAGUUUU